AGAUACCCCACUAUGCCUAGCCGUAAAAACUUUACCUACACCAACUACCGCCAGGGAACUACGAGCUUCAGCUUAAAACCCAAAGGACUUGACGGUGUCCCACCCAGCUAGAGGAGCCUGUUCUAUAAUCGAUAAUCCACGAUAUACCCAACCCCUUCUUGCUAUUCAGCCUGUAUACCUCCGUCGUAAGCCUACCCUAUGAAUGUAUAAAAGUAGGCUUAAGGGUGUUACACCACAACGUCAGGUCAAGGUGCAGCUUAUGAAGUGGAAGCAAUGGGCUACAAUUUCUAAUUUAGAACAAACGAAAUACUAUAUGAAAUAUAGUUAUGAAGGAGGAUUUAGUAGUAAGCAGGGAAUAGAGAGCCCUACUAAACAUGGCCCUGGGACGCGUACAAACCGCCCGUCACCCUCUUCGAUAGCCUUUACUUAGUUUUAUAACAUAAUUGAGCGCCUUUAGAGGAGGCAAGUCGUAACAUGGUAAGUAUACUGGAAAGUGUACUUGGAAUAACAAAAUGUAGCUUAAUUAAAGCCCCUCGCUUACACCGAGAAACUGCCUGUAAAAACCAGACCAUUUUGACGUCCUACAAUCCAGCCUAAAGAUUUAUUAUACAAGCCCCCACACUUUAUUUUUUAUAAAAAACAUUUGAGGUCUUUCUAGUAGAGGUGAUCGAAAAAAUACUUAUAGAGCUUCAGAAAUAGUACCGCAAGGGAAAGAUGAAAUAGUAAUGAAAUAACCUAAAGCCUUUAAUAGCAGAGAUUAAAACUCGUACCUUUUGCAUCAUGGUCUAGCUAGUCUAACCAAGCAAAAUGAAAUUUCAGUUUGUUUUCCCGAAACUAAGCGAGCUACUUCAAAACAGCUUCAAGAGCCCACCCGUCUCUGUGGUAAUAGAGUGGGGAGAUUUUUAAGUAGAAGUGACAAGCCUAACGAGCUUAGAGAUAGCUGGUUAUUUAAGAAAAGAAUUUUAGUUCAACCUUAAAUCUUCUAAUGCACCAAACAAUCUUAAAGAUUUAAGAGCUACUCAAUUAAGGCACAGCUUAUUUGAAACAGGACACAACCUAAACAAUAGGGUAAAAUUUUUAUAUAUCACAAGUGGGCCUAAGAGCAGCCACCUUUAAAAAAGCGUUAAAGCUUAAACUAAUUUUUUGUUAAUUCCUCUAUAAAUUAUGAACCCCUAAUCUGUAUUAAAUAAUUUUAUAAAUUAUAAAAAAUAUAAUGCUAGAACGAGUAACAAGAAUUUAAUAUUCUCUAAAAUGCAAGCAUAAACCAAAAUGGAUACCCCAUUGGUAAUUAACGAAAAUGAGACAACUACAACAACUUCCCAAGAAAAACCUGUAAUUUCCACCGUUAACCUAACACUAGAGCACUAAUAGAAAGAUUAAAAGAGAAAGAAGGAACUCGGCAAACUUUAACCCCGCCUGUUUACCAAAAACAUCGCCUCUUGACUAACAUAAGAGGUCCAGCCUGCCCAGUGAAAAUUAAACGGCCGCGGUACUCUGACCGUGCGAAGGUAGCAUAAUCACUUGUUCUUUAAAUAGGGACUUGUAUCAAUGGCAUCACGAGGGUUGCACUGUCUCCUUUCUCCAAUCAGUGAAACUGAUUUUCCCGUGAAGAAGCGGGAAUAAAAUUAUAAGACGAGAAGACCCCAUGGAGCUUUAAAUUUAAUGGCAACUUAAUUACAUACUCCUUAUAUUUAUAAAGCUAUGCACGUUAAUUUUAGGUUGGGGUGACCGCGGAGAAAAAUUUAACCUCCAUGACGAAAAGAUCUAAAUCUUUAUCCGAGAACUACCUCUCUAAGAAUUAGAAUACUAACGGACAAUGACCCGAUAAUCGAUCAACGAACCAAGUUACCCUGGGGAUAACAGCGCAAUCUACUUUGAGAGCCCCUAUCGACAAGUAGGCUUACGACCUCGAUGUUGGAUCAGGGUAUCCCAGUGGUGCAGCCGCUACUGACGGUUCGU
rnacentral:misc_RNA from 1 species